GAACAACCUAUUGAUAUCCAAGGCAUUAAAUAGACAACAGGGAUGAAGUUUUUUUUAAAAGAAGAAUAAAAAUUAAGUAAUAAAAAUCUCUGUAGUAUAAACACUUUGAGACUAGUAAAUCCUCCUCAAUAUCCAAAUUAAAUGUCAGAAUCAAGAAACAAAUAAUCAGUGAGUCUUUUUCUAAUUCUCCUAAAAUCUUGAGUUUUCUUAAAGAUCUGUCUACUUUGCAACUGCCAAAUGAAUUAUUGAAUAUAUAGGGUGAAGCUAACCAGGAGCUACUGAUCAGUGAAAUUGGUUGCAACUGGGUGGAAGAGCUGCCCUGCUGGGAACUCCAACAAAUGGCAACAUCACUCAAAGAAUGCAAGAUCCUGCUGUGAAACAAUACAAAGUGGCCUGCACUUGAAUGCCUGGCUCAGGAACUUCCACAGUCAUCUGGCUCUUUAAGAAAGUUUGGUGAUAGAGAUAGGAUUUCUAAUGAGGAAGCAGCCACAAAGAAGCUGAUAUUGAUUCUGCUCUCAACAAGCAAAAUUCAGAAGAGGAUGCCCAUGUCUUGGAAUACCUGCAAUUAAUCUACAACCCCAGCAAUGCAGCAGCUGAGAGGCAUUUAUAACUAUGGCAAAAGAAAAAAGAAGUAAUUGGCUGCUUCCUUUACUCUAGCUCACUUUCCAUUGCCUAUAAUGUCUCAACCAAAAUGGUCUUUUGAAUAUUCAAAGAUCUCAGCUCAAUUUUAUUAAAUUAUCAUGAAUUUGAAAUUAAUAGGGCAUUACUAGCUUAACUUAAAAUUCUGACUUUUAAAUUGGUCUCUCUAGCAAACAAUAUAAUGAGCCAGAACUUGUAGGGGGUACAUGCGUUGUACUCACACAUAUAGAUUUACAAACAUAAAACACUAAAUUCUAUCAGCUUUAAAGAAGAACUAAUCUGUGCCCAUAAACUCAUUGAGAUAUCACUUUUCAGAAAGCAAAAAACAUUAAAGUGCCAUAUGCGACUGGAAAUAUUUUUGGAAAAUUAACCAGAGGGUAAUAUAAAGGCCAGAUAUGAAAAUAAUUGAUAGAAAAAGCUACAUCUUAAUCUUUGAGGAAAAAAGUCAAAGAUAUAGGAUAUUUUAUUCACAUGAAAUUCUGGUGCAAUAAAUUCAACAUUAAUUAUUGAUAAUAAAACUCUCAAGUAAAUAUAAACAGAGAGGGAAUUUUUAACCUGCUAAAAGGUAUAUCAGAAAACCGCCCUUAAACAACACACUGAAUAAUAAAAUGUUGAAGGCAUUUCCUUUAGAGUCGGUAGGAAGACAUUAUCAAUGACUCUACCCAACUU
rnacentral:lncRNA from 1 species